rnacentral:tRNA from 1 species
UUAUGGUGUAUACAACAUUUUAUGUUUUCAACAUAAAGAAAGAGAAUUUCUUAAAAACUAAUA